CAUGGAGGGUGAGAAUCCCGUUCAUGAUUAAACCUUGAUGUCACCUAAUCCACUUUCCAAGAGUCGAGUUGUUUGGGAUUGCAGCUCAAAAUGGGUGGUAAAUUUCACCUAAGGCUAAAUAUGUGCAAGAGACCGAUAGCGAACAAGUACCGUGAGGGAAAGAUGAAAAGAACUUUGAAAAGAGAGUUAAAUAGUACGUGAAAUUGUUGAAAGGGAAACGAUUGAAGUCAGUCAUGCUAGUAGGGAAUCAACUUGAUGGAUUGUAGGACUUAUCUUAUGAUCUUUCUGGUGCACUUCCUUGCUUAGCAGGUUAGCAUCAAUUUCGGGUAUCAUUAAAAAAUUGAGGGAAUGUAGCUUUCUUUCGGGAAAGUGUUAUAGACCUUGAUAAAAUGUGGUGACCGAGAUUGAGGAUUGCAGCGGAUACCUUUUAAGGCUAGUCACCUUGCUUCUGACGGUUACCCCGCUUUCGAGAGCUUGCUCACGAUUGUGGGAUUUAACAGUCUAGAUGUUAGAGUGAUCAUAAAUUCGCUAAGGAUGCUGACGUAAUGG
rnacentral:rRNA from 1 species